AGUUAGCCCGUGGCUUUCUGGUUAGGUACCGUCAAGGUGCGAGCAGUUACUCUCGCACUUGUUCUUCCCUAACAACAGAGCUUUACGAUCCGAAAACCUUCAUCACUCACGCGGCGUUGCUCCGUCAGACUUUCGUCCAUUGCGGAAGAUUCCCUACUGCUGCCUCCCGUAGGAGUCUGGGCCGUGUCUCAGUCCCAGUGUGGCCGAUCACCCUCUCAGGUCGGCUACGCAUCGUCGCCUUGGUGAGCCAUUACCCCACCAACUAGCUAAUGCGCCGCGGGUCCAUCUGUAAGUGACAGCCGAAACCGUCUUUCAUCCUUGAACCAUGCGGUUCAAGGAACUAUCCGGUAUUAGCUCCGGUUUCCCGGAGUUAUCCCAGUCUUACAGGCAGGUUACCCACGUGUUACUCACCCGUCCGCCGCUAACAUCCGGGAGCAAGCUCCCUUCUGUCCGCUCGACUUGCAUGUAUUAGGCACGCCG
rnacentral:rRNA from 1 species